rnacentral:rRNA from 1 species
UACGAAGGGGGCUAGCGUUGCUCGGAAUCACUGGGCGUAAAGGGUGCGUAGGCGGGUCUUUAAGUCAGGGGUGAAAUCCUGGAGCUCAACUCCAGAACUGCCUUUGAUACUGAAGAUCUUGAGUUCGGGAGAGGUGAGUGGAACUGCGAGUGUAGAGGUGAAAUUCGAUAGAUAUUCACAAGAACACCAGUGGCGAAGGGCGGACUCGCUGGCCCAUAGU